rnacentral:Y_RNA from 1 species
GACUGGUCUAAUGGUAGUGGGUUAUCAGAACUUAAAAACAUUAGUGUCACUAAAGUUGGUAUACAACUCUUCAGUGCUAAACUUGAGUGGCUUAA